GACGAACGCUGGCGGCGUGCUUAACACAUGCAAGUCGAGCGGUAAGGCCCUUUCGGGGGUACACGAGCGGCGAACGGGUGAGUAACACGUGGGUGACCUGCCCUUAGCUCUGGGAUAAGCCUGGGAAACUGGGUCUAAUACCGGAUAUGACUCCAUGACGCAUGUUGUGGGGUGGAAAGCCUUGUGCGGCUAGGGAUGGGCCCGCGGGCCUAUCAGCUUGUUGGUGGGGUGAUGGCCACCAAGGCGACGACGGGUAGCCGGCCUGAGAGGGCGACCGGCCACACUGGGACUGAGACACGGCCCAGACUCCUACGGGAGGCAGCAGUGGGGAAUCUUGCGCAAUGGGCGAAAGCCUGACGCAGCGACGCCGCGUGGGGAUGACGG
rnacentral:rRNA from 1 species